UGUCCUACGGGAGGCAGCAGUGAGGAAUAUUGUUCAAUGGGCUUACUCCUGAACCAUCCCCUUCUCUUUCUUUAAUACUGCCCUAUGGGUUGUAAACCUCUUUUGUCAGGUAUCAAUUGGCUCUACGUGUAGCGUUAUCGAGAGUACCUGAAGAAAAAGCAUCGGCUAACUCCGUGCCAGCAGCCGCGGUAAUACGGAGGAUGUGAGCGUUAUCCGGAUUUAUUGGGUUUAAAGGGUUCUCAUUCUUUCUUUUAAUUCAGCGGUCAAAGCCCGGGGCUCAACCCCGGCCCGCCGUUGAAACUGGC
rnacentral:rRNA from 1 species